UGCAGUCGAACGAUGAAGCCCAGCUUGCUGGGUGGAUUAGUGGCGAACGGGUGAGUAACACGUGAGUAACCUGCCCUUGACUCUGGGAUAAGCGCUGGAAACGGCGUCUAAUACCGGAUACGACCUGCCCCGGCAUCGGGUGCGGGUGGAAAGUUUUUCGGUCAAGGAUGGACUCGCGGCCUAUCAGCUAGUUGGUGAGGUAAUGGCUCACCAAGGCGACGACGGGUAGCCGGCCUGAGAGGGUGACCGGCCACACUGGGACUGAGACACGGCCCAGACUCCUACGGGAGGCAGCAGUGGGGAAUAUUGCACAAUGGGCGAAAGCCUGAUGCAGCAACGCCGCGUGGGGGAUGACGGCCUUCGGGUUGUAAACCUCUUUUAGUAGGGAAGAAGGGCUUCGGCUUGACGGUACCUGCAGAAAAAGCACCGGCUAACUACGUGCCAGCAGCCGCGGUAAUACGUAGGGUGCAAGCGUUGUCCGGAAUUAUUGGGCGUAAAGAGCUCGUAGGCGGUUUGUCGCGUCUGCUGUGAAAACCCGAGGCUCAACCUCGGGCCUGCAGUGGGUACGGGCAGACUAGAGUGCGGUAGGGGAGAAUGGAAUUCCUGGUGUAGCGGUGGAAUGCGCAGAUAUCAGGAGGAACACCGAUGGCGAAGGCAGUUCUCUGGGCCGUUACUGACGCUGAGGAGCGAAAGCGUGGGGAGCGAACAGGAUUAGAUACCCUGGUAGUCCACGCCGUAAACGUUGGGAACUAGAUGUGGGGACCUUUCCACGGUCUCCGUGUCGCAGCUAACGCAUUAAGUUCCCCGCCUGGGGAGUACGGCCGCAAGGCUAAAACUCAAAGGAAUUGACGGGGGCCCGCACAAGCGGCGGAGCAUGCGGAUUAAUUCGAUGCAACGCGAAGAACCUUACCAAGGCUUGACAUAUACCGGAAACUUCCAGAAAUGGUUGCCCCGCAAGGUCGGUAUACAGGUGGUGCAUGGUUGUCGUCAGCUCGUGUCGUGAGAUGUUGGGGUUAAGUCCCGCAACGAGCGCAACCCUCGUUCUAUGUUGCCAGCACGUCAU
rnacentral:rRNA from 1 species